rnacentral:rRNA from 1 species
AACGAACGCUGGCGGCAUGCCUAACACAUGCAAGUCGAACGAGAGCUUCGGGUCUAGUGUCGCACGGGUUCGUAACGCGUGGGAACCUUCCCUUAUGGUCGGAAUAACUCCCCGAAAGGGGUGCUAAUACCGGAUAAUGUCUUCUGACGAAAGAUUUAUCGCCUUUGGUUGGGCCCGCGUUGGAUUCGAUAGUUGGUAGGGUAAAAGCCUACCAAGGCGACGAUCCAUAGAUGGUCUGAGAGGAUGAUCAGCCACACUGGGACUGAGACGCGGCCCAGACUCUUACGCGAGGCAGCAGUGGGGAAUAUUGGACAAUGGGCGAAAGCAUGAUCCAGCAAUGCCGGGUGAGUGCUGAAGGCCUUAGGGUUGUAAAGCUCUUUUAACCGGGAUGAUAAUGACAGUACCGGGAGAAUAAGCCCCGGCUAACUCCGUG